rnacentral:rRNA from 1 species
GACGAACGCUGGCGGCGUGCCUAAUACAUGCAAGUUGAGCGAUGAAGCUUGGUGCUUGCCCCAAUUUGAAGAGCAGCGAACGGGUGAGUAACGCGUGGGGAAUCUGCCUUUGAGCGGGGGACAACAUUUGGAAACGAAUGCUAAUACCGCAUAACAACUUUAAACAUAAGUUUUAAGUUUGAAAGAUGCAAUUGCAUCACUCAAAGAUGAUCCCGCGUUGUAUUAGCUAGUUGGUGAGGUAAAGGCUCACCAAGGCGAUGAUACAUAGCCGACCUGAGAGGGUGAUCGGCCACAGUGGGACUGAGACACGGCCCAAACUCCUACGGGAGGCAGCAGUAGGGAAUCUUCGGCAAUGGACGAAAGGCUGACCGAGCAACGCCGCGUGAGUGAAGAAGGGUUUCGGAUCGUAAAACUCUGUUGGUAGAGAAGAACGUUGGUGAGAGUGGAAAGCUCAUCAAGUGACGGUAACUACCCAGAAAGGGACGGCUAACUACGUG